UAACAACUCAAUCAAUUUUAGAUGUUCAUGUCAAAGCACAAUAAUUAUGCAUCUUAGCGACAAUUUUGCACGUGGAGUUAUGAAUUGUUUAUGCUUAAAACAUGAUUUAGCAGCAAAUACACCGGACAAUCUCAUUUUCGUGUAUAAAUAAGUGGGCUUGGAAAAGCGAAUUUCAAAAGUUUCGGACUCCAACCUAAGGCCCAUCGACAGCAUAGUUAGAGACUAUUACAUCGUGAGAGAGAAAAUUGGAUUUUCUCCAUUCCUGACCAUGCAUGUAGUCGAUUCAAUAUGUCUGGCCAGAAUGACGCACUCACAAAGUUUAGCGCAAUAUUUGACSACCUGGGAGUACCGCGUCAAAACGAUAUUUGAAACACUUCCACUGAAUACCGAAAUCGCAACUGAAUUAAGGUUGCGUAAUAUCAUGGAUCUAAUGUCUUGCUUGGAUGAUGGAUCUGAAAUAAUUCGGCAAAAGUUCUCAGCCACCAACAGGUAAGCUAGUAACUCACUUAUAAAUAUUAUUAUUAUACAGAGCCCUUAUUUUUAAGCAUCUAUAAUAGUUCACCGUACAUUACAUCAUCAUCUAAAACUAGCACUGUCCACUAGCUAUGGGGAGUGGUAAUUUUUGCAAGAUGCCCAAUAUCCACAAAAUAGCACGGAUAAUGCGAUCGAUCAUUGUUAGGAAACCUAUGAUUGCCUCAAUUACAAGGCGAAACCGGCCUUUCAGUUCAAAGUUUAACUUAUACUCGGGAACAUCGAACCACUGGUACUUCUUCUCCUUGGUUUGAUCCACUAGAUA